CAUUUAAAUCAAUAUGCCCAGUGCUUAGGAUCAAGAUGAGUGCUUUAAACAACAUGCACAACUUUCCCAAUUCAUCUGUUGAUGACAGGUAAAGCAGCUGAACUGCAUUUGAAAUCACCAACAUCUGAGAUUCUCAGGAAGCAAAAGCUGGAUACUUCUGCCUAUGUCUGAGCAUGAAGGAUGCAAUUCACAGUAAGAAUCCUGAUACCUGUUUUCAUUCAGCGGACUCAGAGUGCGUAUAUGGAAAAGCUGCUCCUGUGGGCUGAGAGCUAAUCUAAGGACUGUUGCUAAGUGGUUGCCGGUUUUACUCAACAUGAGAACUACUCACCCUCUUCAUUUAC
rnacentral:lncRNA from 1 species